rnacentral:rRNA from 1 species
UACAGGGGGGGGCAAGCGUUGUUCGGAAUUACUGGGCGUAAAGGGUUCGUAGGUGGCUCACUAAGUCACACGUGAAAUCCCUCAGCUUAACUGGGGACUGCGUGUGAAACUGGAGAGCUUGAGGGUAGGAGAGGAAUGCAGAAUUCCAGGUGUAGCGGUGAAAUGCGUAGAUAUCAGGAAGAACACCCGUGGCUAAGGCGGCUCUCUAGUACGGUACUGACGCUGAGACGCGAAAGCGUGGGGAGCGAACAGG